UACAGGGGUGCAACGUUGCUCGGAAUUAUUGGGCGUAAAGCGCACGUAGGCGGUUCGUUAUGUCGGAUGUGAAAGCCCUUGGCUCAACUGAGGAAGUGGCAUCCGAAACUGGCGAGCUAGAGUAUGUAAGAGGUCGCGGAAUUCCCGGUGUAGAGGUGAAUUCGUAGAUAUCGGGAGGAACGACCGGUGGCGAAGGCGGCGACCUGGGACAAUACUGACGCUGAGGUGCGAAGCGUGGGAGCAACAGG
rnacentral:rRNA from 1 species